rnacentral:rRNA from 1 species
UACGAAGGGGGCUAGCGUUGCUCGGAAUCACUGGGCGUAAAGCGCACGUAGGCGGACUCUUAAGUCAGGGGUGAAAUCCUGGAGCUCAACUCCAGAACUGCCUUUGAUACUGAAGGUCUUGAGUUCGGGAGAGGUGAGUGGAACUGCGAGUGUAGAGGUGAAAUUCGUAGAUAUUCGCAAGAACACCAGUGGCGAAGGCGGCUCACUGGCUCGUAUCUGACGCUCAGGCGCGACAGCGUGGGGAUCAAACAGG